AGAGUUUGAUCCUGGCUCAGGACUAACGCUGGCGGCGUGCAUAACACAUGCAAGUCGAACGAGAAAGUGGGGGUAACUCCAUGAGUAAAGUGGCAAACGGGUGAGUAAUGUAUGAAUAACCUGCCCUCAAGAUUGGGAUAACCUGCCGAAAGGCGGACUAAUACCGGAUAAGCCCACAUCCCGGUUUUAUCGGGAUGCGGGAAAAGGUGGUCAAUGCUUGCAAACUACCACUUGAGGAGGGGUUCAUAUCCUAUUAGCUAGUUGGUAGGGUAAUGGCCUACCAAGGCAAAGAUGGGUAGCCGGUCUGAGAGGAUGUUCGGCCACACUGGAACUGAGAAACGGUCCAGACUCCUACGGGAGGCAGCAGUGGGGAAUUUUCCGCAAUGGGCGCAAGCCUGACGGAGCAACGCCGCGUGAGGGAUGAAGGUUUUCGGAUCGUAAACCUCUUUCGAUGGGAAAGAAAUUCUUGAUACUAAUAAUGUCAAGAACUGACGGUACCUAGAGAAGAAGCCACGGCCGACUCCGUGCCAGCAGCCGCGGUAAUACGGGGGUGGCAAGCGUUACUCGGAUUUAUUGGGUGUAAAGGGCAGGUAGGCGAUUUGUUAAGUUAGAAGUGAAAUCCUUUGGCUCAACCAAAGAACUGCUUCUAAAACUGACUUAAUUGAGGCUAAAAGAGGAGAGCGGAAUUCCCGGUGUAAGAGUGAAAUCUGUAGAUAUCGGGAGGAACACCAGUGGCGAAGGCGGCUCUCUGGUUUAUGCCUGACGCUGAUCUGCGAAAGCUAGGGGAGCAAACAGGAUUAGAUACCCUGGUAGUCC
rnacentral:rRNA from 1 species